rnacentral:lncRNA from 1 species
GGGAGCUGCGGACGGCCAUGUGCGCGGCGGAGAGGCCGGGUGGCCACCGAACCUUCCCGCCUGUUCUGCGGUGGGUAGGAGUUUGGAAACUAAUGUUCCUGUGCUAACCUUCGUGUCUCUGUGACAUGACUGUUGAAAGACGGAGAGUGCGGAAUCUUUGGAGUUUUAAGCUUGCCAACUGUGCGGCCUAGCAGAAUCCUGGGAGACGGAAGGACAGCCAAGAGGCUAGGAUUUACCUUUAAGUGUCCCUAGAUUCAACUAGGCAGACUGGGACGGGAGACGCUGUGAAGGGGCGUCUGGGCAUGGCUUUCCCAACCUAGUAACUGCAACUUUUAGCAUCCUACAUGUAGGACUUGGGAAUAUGUGAGACAGCGCCAAGAAUUUAAUCCAGGAGAAUUGACAAGCUUAAAUGAAAUCCAUAUUGCCCACUGAUUUUGUGCAGCUUCAGAGUGGCUCACACCUGUAAUCCCAGUGCUUUGGGAGGCCGAGGCAGAUGGAUCACUUGAGGCCAGGAGUUCCAGACCAGCCUGGCCAACACGGCGAAACCCCAUCUCUACUAAAAAUACAAAAAAUUAGCCAGGCCUGGUGGUGCACGCUUGUAAUCCCAGGUACUUGGGAGGCUAAGGCAGGAGGAUCACUUGAACCCAGGGGAGGCUGCAGUGAGCUGAGAUCGUGCCACUGCACUCCAGCUUGGGCAACAGAGCAAGACUCCAUCUUAAAAAGAAGAAAGAAAGAACUUCUAUUUUUUAAAUGUUUUUUCCUUUCAUUGAACUCCAUUUAUAGCCUUUCCAUUCAGAGCAUAAAGAUUAAAUUUUAAAACAAGGCUUGGCACCCUGGCUUAUGCCUGUAAUCCCAGCACUUUGUGAGGCCAAGGUGGGCGGAUCACCUGAGCUCAGAAGUUUGAGUCCAGCCUGGCUAACAUGGUGAAACCCCAUCUCUAAAAGAGUACACAGUCCUAGAGCAGUGGUGUGCGCCUGUAGUCCUAGCUACCUGGGAGGCUGAACCAGGAGAAUUGCUUGAGCCUGGGAGGCAGAGGUUGCAGUGAGCCAAGAUCGCACCAUUACACUCCAGCCUGGGUGACAGAGAGAGACCCUGUGCCCCUCAAAAAAAUGUUUUUUUUAAACAAGAAUCUCUCAGGCAUACUGAAAUGUUGAAGAGGAAAUUAUAUUAAUAUCUGGGACUUGUUUCCAAAUUUGGAAUUGGGGCAGGGUGUAAAUUGUUGGCAAUAUCAAAGAAACGAGGAGUUGGAAUGAUAAUUGUAGAAGCUGCAUGAUAGAUACACAUUCUUUAUACUUCUGUAUAUGUUGAAAUUUUUUAUCAAAUUAUAAUUGUGUAUAAUGACUAAUUAUGCUUUCAUUGUCUAUUCUGUGUGGUUAUGUUACUUGCUGAAAUUAAUACAUAAAGAGUCUUCAACUUAAAUGACUUAUCAAGCAUAAAUAUUAAAAUACUGGAUGUUACUACACAUUUGACUCCACUUAUGCAUUUAUUCAUCAACUAUUAAAUGCUUUCAUGUAGAUUUCUCAUUUAAUCUCUGCAAGGUAGGUGUUACCCCUGGUUUUACAAAUGAGAAAAUGUAGAUUCAAGAUAAGUAAUAUGCAGGUCAAGAAUAGCAAAAUCGGUCGGGUGCGGUACCUCACGCCUGUAAUCCCAACACUUUGAGAGGCCGAAGUGGGUGGAUCACCUGAGGUCAGGAGUUCAAUCCCAGCCUAGCCAAUACAGUGAAACCCCAUCUCUACUAAAAAUACAAAAAUUAGCCAGGCAUGAUGGCAGGUGCCUGUAAUACCAACUACUCGGGGGGUUGAGGGAGGAGAAUCGUUUGAACCCGGGAGGUGGAGGUUGCAGUGGCCCGAGAUUGUGUCACUGCACUCCAGCCUGGGCGACAGAGCUAGACUCCAUCUAAAAAAAAUGAAAAUAGCAAAAUUACAACUUUUCCCCCAUUUGGUCUUCCACCUGGAAACUCAUGUUUUAUUUCUACUGUUACCAUGCUGCUUCUCAGACAUGCCUGACUGUUUCUUCCCGUGCUGUUUUCCUUUAGGAGUGAAAGCUUGGCACAACAUGUACAAUAAAAUUUAGGGAAGAUUUUUGGGGUCUUUGUCCUCUUCUUUCCUGUUAAAGCAGCUAGAGUCAGUAGGCAGGACCUAAGGUGUACUACACCAUAAGGAAGCCAUGGAACGGUGAACUGGCAAAAUUCUAGACCCAACUCAUGAAAUUUUGGUUCUUCAAGAAUUUCUUUGACUGCUAUUACCUGUAUUUGUGUUGAUUACUGUUCAAUAUACU